CAAAGUGCUGGGAUUAUGGGCAUGAGCCACUGUGCCCAGUCUUGUUGAGUAAUUUCCUAACCAAACCUACUUGUCGGUGCUAAAGCCAUAGCCAGCCCAGCUCAUAUGCCAGUUUGUCACAGAAUUGAAGGUCAGAAUUGGUGAAGUCUUAAAGAGAGCAAAAGGAAUGCUUACUUGAGAAUACCAGUUCAUAUUUAAUUACUACAAAUCACAGUAGCACUGAACAUGGCUCUAGUGAGUGGGCCUCAGUCAGUUCAGGCAGCUAAAGGGAGGGGGUUUCCUCUUAGUCCUCUCCCUGGAGCUAAAUAUGCAUCUGGGAAAAAGUAGGCUGUGGACCACAGAGGUAUUUUUUUAGAGGAAAGAACUGAAGUCCCAGCACUAGGUAAAACUGC